UGCCCCACAAACUGCACCUCAAAGCCAAAGCGUCCAGACUUUUUUUCCUGGUGGAAAGAGCUGCUGUUCCAUUUUUUAAACCCUGCACUGCAAUGGUCAGUCCAAACCCCUUGAAAAUUUAAUCCAAAUGAAGAUUCCUGCCUGACAAAAGGUGCCACCCCAGAAAGGUCUUUGCUGCCCAAGAAGAGUGCCCAGGCUGCCCCAACAACUACACCUCAAAGCCAAAGCUUCCAGACUUUUUUUCCUAGUGGAAACAGCUGCUGUUCCCUUUUUUCAACCCUCCGCUGCAAUGGCCAGUCCCACCUCUUGAAAAAUUGAAUCCAAAUGAAGAUUCCUACCAGACAAAAGGUACCACCACAGAAAACUCUUCCUGCCCAAGAAGUGCCCAGGCUGCCCCAACAACUGUACCUGAAACCAAAGCUU